CUACGGGCGGCAGCAGUGGGGAAUAUUGCACAAUGGACGAAAGUCUGAUGCAGCAACGCCGCGUGGAGGAUGACACAUUUCGGUGCGUAAACUCCUUUUAUAUAGGAAGAUAAUGACGGUACUAUAUGAAUAAGCACCGGCUAACUCCGUGCCAGCAGCCGCGGUAAUACGGAGGGUGCAAGCGUUACUCGGAAUCACUGGGCGUAAAGAGCGUGUAGGCGGAUAUAUAAGUCAGAAGUGAAAUCCAAUAGCUUAACUAUUGAACUGCUUUUGAAACUGUAUAUCUAGAAUGUGGGAGAGGUAGAUGGAAUUUCUGGUGUAGGGGUAAAAUCCGUAGAGAUCAGAAGGAAUACCGAUUGCGAAGGCGAUCUACUGGAACAUUAUUGACGCUGAGACGCGAAAGCGUGGGGAGCAAACAGGAUUAGAUACCCGAGUAGUC
rnacentral:rRNA from 1 species